AUUGUGAGAAGUUUUUACGCUGCUCUGGGUCAUGGCUUGGAGACUGCCUCCUCAGAGCUUAAAUGGGCAGAUUUCAUAUUCUUCCCAUCCUUGGGAAUACUUCAUAAAACAGAAUGACAAGAGUCCAUGUUUUUUUCGGAGCACCGUGCAGUGGGAGAGCCUGUCUUGCCUUUUUUUUUUUUUUUUUUUUUUUUUUUUUUGCUAUCGUUUUAUACAGGUAUUUUUUUUUCUUUCUAUUUCUUUUUUCUUUUACUUUUUAUUUCCUCUUUAAAGAAAAUGAUUGGCAGCACUCAACCUCAAGGAACUGAUCUAUCAAAACCAAGCUGGGAUAAGUAUUUCUUUGAGAAAUAAUAUAUAUUUACCAACAGGCUCUAUUCUGCCCCCUUGUUUCACAGCACCUUGAAUAUCACUUCCUUUUCCUGCCCAAAGCAGGAGAUAACCCUGUAUUAAGAGCAUGGCAGGUGUGUGUGUGUGUACAAUACACACAUACAGCACACAUGUCUCUAUUUAGAGAUUCCAUGAUAUGCGUUCUAUAUACACUUUACAGUCCCUUUUCUUAAUGUCAAAAAUAUAAUUUCCAACGUCUAAAGAGUGUUUUCAAAGACUUUUGCCCUAUUUUUUAAAAUAGUGUCUAAAUAUGAUUAAGUGUCUUCCCAGAGAAAAGUCAAAGAGGCUCCUAGUGUUAAUUUCCAUAUUGCUUAAGACUUAAGCUUUUAAUUUAUUUUAUCAAGGUUGAGGGAGUAUGGUAAUUGUUGGAACAACGCCCUUCCAAAAGAAAUAGCCUGCACUUGUUUUUAAGUUAAAUUUGUUUUCUCACACAGAUUUUUGAUACACUCUUAAAUAAACUAGAAAUCACAAUUAUUUUAAUGUGGCAGAGUUGUAACCAGGAAAUUGCAUAUAUUUUCAUAAACUAGGCUGUUAUAGAUUUUUAUAACAUUAUAAGAAAUGUUAUUUCUUAUAACAUUAUUUUAAGAAAUUUUUUUAACGUCUUUCAACCCUGAAAGGGCCUGCUUGAAACAUACACGGCAGCAAAAUCACUGGAGUCCAGGGUUUUUGUCACACACACACACAGCACAGAUUUUUUUGAUUAUGUAGAUUUCUUUUCCUACUGCAGUUUCAUAUGCAAAGCAUGCAUCAGCCACAUCCAUGCUAUCUCCUAAAGCAGUCAUUCUGAAACCCAAUCUGGGGACAGUGCAGACUAAAUAAAAUUUCAUUUUGAUUUGGCCUCCCGCUGCGAAUGGGACUGCUUUGUCUCAGCCGACAGAACCAGCAAGCCAGAAAGGGAAUGAAGACAUUUGGAGAAGAAGCGUUUACUGAAAGGAGAUUCCUGGGCUGGAGGAAAACCAUGAUCUACAGUUCAUGUUGACAGAUAUUGCAUUUUUGGUCCUAGAUCUGACUUUUGAAAUGACUUAUCACAAAUUCAAAUUUAGCAAUCAUGAGUGAAGUACCCACGAUGUGCUAAGCAUCUACCUCUGCAGAUAGAAGAACACUUACCGUUCCUGAGCAUGGGAGGGAACUUCUGUUCCUGGGUCCUGGCCUCACCUCAUCAGGCACUGCCAAAUUUGACACCUCCUUCCUGUUCACGGCAGUCCUUUGGGAUGGGGUAUUAGAUGCCACCAAAUAGCUGCAUAACUCACCCACUUUGUCAGAGCCUGGGUCUAAGCCAGGUCUGACAGACUCCAAAGCAAGCCCUGUUUACAGCAUGACUGGGAUCCAGUGGGUAAGACCAACCUGUCAAUGCCCAAGUGCAGAUGCAAUAAUAGUGCUUCAACUGAUUGUUGCAAACUCCUCAUGAAGGAUGCCAAAUCCCAGUGCAGAUGGUAACACAGGCUACUUUUCACCUCCAACCUCUAAUAUCCUUUCUUUCUUUCUUUCCUUUUUUUUUUUUUUUUUUUUUUUUUGAGAUAGAGUCUCCUCUAUCACCCAGGCUGGAGUGCAACAGCGCGAUCCCAGCUCACUGCAACCUCCACCUCCUGGGUUCAAGCAAUUCUCUCGCCUCAGCCUCCCGAGUAGCUGGGAUUACAGGCACCCGCCAUCACGUCCAGCUAAUUUUUGUAUAUUUGUAGAGACGGGGUUUCACCAUGUUAGCCAGGCUGGUCUUGAACUCCUGACCUCAGGUGAUCUGCCCGCCUCAGCCUCCCAAAGUGCUAGGAUUACAAGUGUGAGCCACCACGCCCGGCCCCAAUAUUCUUUCUUACUAGACACUGUGUAAGCUAAUUAUUCAGCAAGUAUUUUGCACUGAACUCUAAAUAGGUAAGUAUUUUGUGUCCAUUUUACAGACAAGAGAAAUAAAAUAGAUAAAGUAUUUCCCCAAAGCUAUGAUAAAUGAAUCCCAUAGCUAGAAAUGGCAGAAAACCCAUGGAAACUUCUAUGGGGAGUGGAUGUCUGCCUUACCUUGGCACAAUGCUUGGUUCUCAGAUAUCAUUUCAGUGACAUUGCCAAAUGGGAGAAACCAUGUCUGGUACAUGGGACUCAAGCUGCCUCAAAAUAUCCUGAAUGCAUUUUUUCAGGGGAGAAAAUCCAUUUGAAUAAGAAUAGCUAGUUAUAGCUUAUUAUGUGCCAGACACUAUUCAAAGUGUUUAAUGUGUAUUAACUUCUCAAAACCACUCUAUAAGUUAGGUACUAUGAUUUCCAUCUCCAUUUUACAGAUGAGGGAACUGAGCUGUCAAAACUAAGUGACUUGAUUGAGGCCAUGCAGCUGGCGAGGGGAGGACCAGGAUCUGAACCCAACUGGGUCUCCCAAGCCUGGGCCACUGAACCAUUUCACCUCUUGGAAAAACUUAAUGGUCAGAGUGGCCCACCCAGUCCAUGGACAGCAUGGAGCAGUAUGGUGGAAGAGGAAGGAAGAAAACCUGUGUAUUGUAAGUCAUAUUCUUCUAUGGCGUGAAGGUUAACGUAAGUUUUAAGAAAGUUUUUUUUUAAAUUUUAUUUUAUGAUCUUGCUCUAAAGGGAUGUAAAUUCAGAUGCUGAAUUGCACACAUUCUUUCUCUUUCAUAUUUUCAAUAUUGAACGUAAUUUCAAUAUUUAACAUAAAACAACGAGUACAUUGUCUCCACCUCAUUGUUUUUGGGUGGUGUUUGUGGGGAGCCUGCGUUCUUUGGAAGGAAGACCUUUCAGAUGACCUGACCAGUCCUCCUCUUCAGAACCCGGAUGCUGGCGAAGCAGUUUGAAUUUUAUGCUUGUGAAAGGGCUCCGUUGAUGAUUUUGAUGUCUGCAGGUUUCCACCCGUAUGACCAGACACAUUCUCACCAGCUCCAUAUAUCAAGAUAAGGAGGGGAAACCUGGUAGCUUUUCCUUCUGUUAACUGCUGGCAUCAGCUGAGUGAUGCAGACAUUUCUCUAUUAAGAACUGAGCUGAGACUGAAGCUUCAUUUUGUAUGAGACUCUGCAGAGGUCGUCUAAAGUCUCUCCCAGGUGAGGUUAUUAAGAUCCUGGAUUUGAAACUGUGACCUACUGGUUUGCCAGAUGCCAAGAACAAAUGCUCUGAAAUUGAUUUGCCAAAAGACAUGAUGAGCUGCUCUAACUUGCCUGGGAAGAGUGGAAUAUUUAACCUGUGGGUGAGACUCCCUCUUGCUACCUAUCAGCUUUGCCACUGCUCUGAUCGAGAAACAUCUUGGGAGCAGAGUUGGUAAGAGUGAAUCAGACGUAUCUGCCAGAAUAGGACUCGUGGCACCUGCUUGUUCGAUCCCUUAUUUCCACCCCCUCUAUCCUUUGCCUAUUGUCAGUCAUUGUGGUUGGUCCAUUCAGAAGAAUCGUGAAUAUUCAUAGCCACCCUAAUUUACUAAUAUAUAUUCACUAAUGUC
rnacentral:lncRNA from 1 species